rnacentral:lncRNA from 1 species
ACUCUCUGCGACGGCCCAGAUGGAGGGCAGGAGGAACAGCGGUUCAGCCCUGGCUGGGGCUGCAGGGGCUGGGGUGUGUUACUCACUGGCACGAUGGAGAACUGCAUGAAGAGGCAGCGGAGUGCUGUCUGUCCCCACCCUUCCCCGCCCGGCCUCCAACUGGUGGGAACUGGAUUUUGCGGCUGCAGAGGACUUCCCCAAAUUUUGCCACAUUAACAGCUGACUGCACAUCUGAGCCCCGAGGCAAUGCGGUGUGCAGAGGGUGCUUGGUGGUUCUCUCCUGAUGGCCCCGCAGGGUCUGCAGCCUCCAUCUGGCCAGCAGAGGGCGCAGAAGGACUGCCUGGGCAGCUCGGACGUGACCGCCUGGAAGUGGUGUACAGCGUUCCUGACAACGUUCCCGGCCAAAACGGGUCCCGCCGCCCACUUGUGUGCAAGAUAACUGGAAAAUGUCUUUCUGUGUGCUCCGAGGAGAAUGCAAAGGCUGGUGGAUGUAGUGCCUUUCCUCUACUGCUCUCUCAGCUGGGGGCAAGAAUGACAGGACGUGAACAUGCACACAAGGGCCCGGAACUCACGACCCCCGACAGCGGUCUCCCCCGCCCCCCCAACCCCGCGCUUGCAGGAUUUAGGGCACUAGCACAGCACAGUCCACCCCUUGGGACUAGCACCCCCUCCGCAGUUCUGCUCUCUGCAGCAACAUAGAGUACAAAUAUUGUUCCUUUUGUUUCUUUUUUCCCUUUGGAUACAUUUUUAAUUACAAAAAUAGAGCUUGAUUGUUGCACCUAGACAGAUGUUUGCUUGCUUCUGGGCCCAUUGGGCCUCCUCUCAGAGCCUGGAACUCCCAGCCCCCAGCUCCUGGGGUGCCUUCCUCCAGGUGUGUCCCUGGCUUGGGCUGGGGGGACACAGCCCCGCUCCUGGGACGUGCAGGUUUAAAAUGCUAUUGGGUACCAUCUUUGAUCGAAUUCAGAGUGACAGACUUAGAGCAGGUCACCUCUCAGCUUCUAACGAGGCCAAGACGGAGGAAUCCCCACAGCACUGGGUUUGACUCUGUAAUUAAGCUGGUAAAGUGGAAAAAUAAAAGUAGGAAACCUAAGUGGAAACCAAACCAGAAAGCCAGGCAGCCCGGGAGUUCUGAGCCCUGCUUCCUUCCAGCUGUGCGGCCUCAGCGGCUGACGCGGUCUCUGCUGCUCUUCUAUAACACAGGAUGAUGGCAGCUACACCCUCUGAGUGGUGUCACCAAGGCCAAUGAGUCCUGAUGGUUGGAGUGUGGGUAUCCGGGGGCCUCUAGGUCACUACCCACUCUAGCCCUUUGCUCCUAGUCUCUGGGGAGGUGGCAGCAUAGGGGCAUGGAGCAGACUAGACUUUGCCUCUUUCUGCCCCCAGGCCAGUUGAUAUGAGCCCUGCUUGAGGGGUUCGCAGGGCCUGGGGAGCCUUCUUCAGCUUCUCUUUGUUUUCCUAAGAUGAAAAUUGUGACAUCUGGGCUUGUUGCGGGAAAUUUGUAAAUUGUGCACAGAGAAGAAUAUGAAAUUGCACAUAAA